rnacentral:rRNA from 1 species
UGCCAGCCGCCGCGGUAAUACGGAGGGAGCUAGCGUUGUUCGGAAUUACUGGGCGUAAAGCGUGCGUAGGCGGAUCGACAAGUUGGGGGUGAAAUCCCGGGGCUUAACCCCGGAACUGCCCUUGAAACUGGGAGUCUAGAGAUCAGGAGAGGUUAGUGGAAUACCGAGUGUAGAGGUGAAAUUCGUAGAUAUUCGGUGGAACACCAGUGGCGAAGGCGACUAACUGGACUGAUACUGACGCUGAGGUGCGAAAGUGUGGGGAGCAAACAGGAUUAGAUA